CAUUAAGAAGCUAUGUAACAGCGCUAGCCUUUUAAGCUAGAAACAGAGGAAGCACCGCACCCUCCUUAGUGA
rnacentral:tRNA from 1 species